GGUUAAGCGACUAAGCGUACACGGUGGAUGCCCUGGCAGUCAGAGGCGAUGAAGGACGUGCUAAUCUGCGAAAAGCGUCGGUAAGGUGAUAUGAACCGUUAUAACCGGCGAUGUCCGAAUGGGGAAACCCAGUGCAAUUCGUUGCACUAUCGUUAACUGAAUACAUAGGUUAACGAGGCGAACCGGGGGAACUGAAACAUCUAAGUACCCCGAGGAAAAGAAAUCAACCGAGAUUCCCCCAGUAGCGGCGAGCGAACGGGGAGCAGCCCAGAGUCUGAAUCAGCUUGUGUGUUAGUGGAACGGUCUGGAAAGUCCGACGGUACAGGGUGAUAGUCCCGUACACCAAAAUGCACAGGCUGUGAACUCGAAGAGUAGGGCGGGACACGUGGUAUCCUGUCUGAAUAUGGGGGGACCAUCCUCCAAGGCUAAAUACUCCUGACUGACCGAUAGUGAACCAGUACCGUGAGGGAAAGGCGAAAAGAACCCCGGCGAGGGGAGUGAAAAAGAACCUGAAACCGUGUACGUACAAGCAGUGGGAGCACCUUCGGGUGUGACUGCGUACCUUUUGUAUAAUGGGUCAGCGACUUAUAUUCUGUAGCAAGGUUAACCGUAUAGGGGAGCCGCAGGGAAACCGAGUCUUAACUGGGCGUUAAGUUGCAGGGUAUAGACCCGAAACCCGGUGAUCUAGCCAUGGGCAGGUUGAAGGUUGGGUAACACUAACUGGAGGACCGAACCGACUAAUGUUGAAAAAUUAGCGGAUGACUUGUGGCUGGGGGUGAAAGGCCAAUCAAACCGGGAGAUAGCUGGUUCUCCCCGAAAGCUAUUUAGGUAGCGCCUCGUGAACUCAUCUUCGGGGGUAGAGCACUGUUUCGGCUAGGGGGUCAUCCCGACUUACCAACCCGAUGCAAACUACGAAUACCGAAGAAUGUUAUCACGGGAGACACACGGCGGGUGCUAACGUCCGUCGUGAAGAGGGAAACAACCCAGACCGCCAGCUAAGGUCCCAAAGUCAUGGUUAAGUGGGAAACGAUGUGGGAAGGCACAGACAGCCAGGAUGUUGGCUUAGAAGCAGCCAUCAUUUAAAGAAAGCGUAAUAGCUCACUGGUCGAGUCGGCCUGCGCGGAAGAUGUAACGGGGCUAAACCAUGCACCGAAGCUGCGGCAGCGACACUAUGUGUUGUUGGGUAGGGGAGCGUUCUGUAAGCCUGCGAAGGUGACCUGUGAGGGUUGCUGGAGGUAUCAGAAGUGCGAAUGCUGACAUAAGUAACGAUAAAGCGGGUGAAAAGCCCGCUCGCCGGAAGACCAAGGGUUCCUGUCCAACGUUAAUCGGGGCAGGGUGAGUCGACCCCUAAGGCGAGGCCGAAAGGCGUAGUCGAUGGGAAACAGGUUAAUAUUCCUGUACUUGGUGUUACUGCGAAGGGGGGACGGAGAAGGCUAUGUUAGCCGGGCGACGGUUGUCCCGGUUUAAGCAUGUAGGCUGGUUGUCCAGGCAAAUCCGGAUAAUCAAGGCUGAGGUGUGAUGACGAGGCACUACGGUGCUGAAGUAACAAAUGCCCUGCUUCCAGGAAAAGCCUCUAAGCAUCAGGUAACAUCAAAUCGUACCCCAAACCGACACAGGUGGUCAGGUAGAGAAUACCAAGGCGCUUGAGAGAACUCGGGUGAAGGAACUAGGCAAAAUGGUGCCGUAACUUCGGGAGAAGGCACGCUGGUGUGUAGGUGAAGUCCCUGCGGAUGGAGCUGAGACCAGUCGAAGAUACCAGCUGGCUGCAACUGUUUAUUAAAAACACAGCACUGUGCAAACACGAAAGUGGACGUAUACGGUGUGACGCCUGCCCGGUGCCGGAAGGUUAAUUGAUGGGGUUAUCCGUAAGGAGAAGCUCUUGAUCGAAGCCCCGGUAAACGGCGGCCGUAACUAUAACGGUCCUAAGGUAGCGAAAUUCCUUGUCGGGUAAGUUCCGACCUGCACGAAUGGCGUAAUGAUGGCCAGGCUGUCUCCACCCGAGACUCAGUGAAAUUGAACUCGCUGUGAAGAUGCAGUGUACCCGCGGCAAGACGGAAAGACCCCGUGAACCUUUACUAUAGCUUGACACUGAACAUUGAGCCUUGAUGUGUAGGAUAGGUGGGAGGCUUUGAAGCGUGGACGCCAGUCUGCGUGGAGCCAACCUUGAAAUACCACCCUUUAAUGUUUGAUGUUCUAACGUUGGCCCCUGACCGGGGUUGCGGACAGUGUCUGGUGGGUAGUUUGACUGGGGCGGUCUCCUCCCAAAGCGUAACGGAGGAGCACGAAGGUUAGCUAAUCCUGGUCGGACAUCAGGAGGUUAGUGCAAUGGCAUAAGCUAGCUUGACUGCGAGCGUGACGGCGCGAGCAGGUGCGAAAGCAGGUCAUAGUGAUCCGGUGGUUCUGAAUGGAAGGGCCAUCGCUCAACGGAUAAAAGGUACUCCGGGGAUAACAGGCUGAUACCGCCCAAGAGUUCAUAUCGACGGCGGUGUUUGGCACCUCGAUGUCGGCUCAUCACAUCCUGGGGCUGAAGUAGGUCCCAAGGGUAUGGCUGUUCGCCAUUUAAAGUGGUACGCGAGCUGGGUUUAGAACGUCGUGAGACAGUUCGGUCCCUAUCUGCCGUGGGCGCUGGAGAAUUGAGGGGGGCUGCUCCUAGUACGAGAGGACCGGAGUGGACGCAUCACUGGUGUUCGGGUUGUCAUGCCAAUGGCACUGCCCGGUAGCUAAAUGCGGAAGAGAUAAGUGCUGAAAGCAUCUAAGCACGAAACUUGCCCCGAGAUGAGUUCUCCCUGAGACUUUAAGUCUCCUGAAGGAACGUU
rnacentral:rRNA from 1 species